UACAGAGGAUGCAAGCGUUAUCCGGAAUGAUUGGGCGUAAAGCGUCUGUAGGUGGCUUUUUAAGUCCGCCGUCAAAUCCCAGGGCUCAACUCUGGAUAGGCGGUGGAAACUACCAAGCUGGAGUACGGUAGGGGCAGAGGGAAUUUCCGGUGGAGCGGUGAAAUGCGUAGAUAUCUGGAGGAAUACCGGUGGCGAAGGCGGCAUCCUGGACCGAGAUUGACACUGAUGAGCGAAAGCUAGGGGAGCAAACGGG
rnacentral:rRNA from 1 species